GACGAACGCUGGCGGCGUGCUUAACACAUGCAAGUCGAGCGGUAAGGCUCCUUCGGGAGUACACGAGCGGCGAACGGGGGAGUAACACGGGAGUAAGCUGCCCUCCUCUUCGGGAUAACCACCGGAAACGGGGGCUAAUACCGUAUACGACCAGUCGUUGCAUGAGGUGCUGGGGGAAAGUCUUUUCGGUGCAGGAUUUGCUUGCGGCCUAUCGGCUUGUGGUUCGGGUAAUGGCCUAUCGAGGCGUCGACGGGUAGCCGGCCUGAGCGUGUGACCGGUCACCCUGGUCCUGAUACACGGCGCACGCUCCUACGGGAGUCAGCAGUGGCGAAUAUCGGAGAGUGACCGAAAGCCUGAUCCUGCACCGACGCGUGAGGCAUGACGGCCUUGGGGUUCUAAUGCUCCUUCAGUACCGAGGAAGCGGCCUGUCGGGUGGUGACGGUAGGUUCAGAAUAAGGACCGGCCAACUACGUG
rnacentral:rRNA from 1 species